rnacentral:ncRNA from 2 species
AACUUAUUAAGAGAGGCGGAGGGAAAGGCCCUAUGAAGUCCGGCAACCAGCAUUAUGUAAUGUAUUGGUGCUAAAUCCUGCAGCAUUGUAGCUGAAAGAUGAGGU